rnacentral:lncRNA from 1 species
CGUGAUUGUCGUCUCCUCUAUCGUGGUCGGCAUCAGGACCCAGGUGGGCGCCGCCAAAGUGCCGACCGGGGACAGUGUAGAGUUCACAGGCCGUCGUUGUUGCACGACCGCCACGCAGGACCACGGUCGGCGUUGCCAGCCGACCAAAGACAAGGCGACCAUCGACACCUUCACUAUUACGGCCAUUGUCAAUGUCCGCGUCGGCCGACGAUGGCGGUGAUGAUCCAACCAAAGAUUCGGCGGUGCGACGCGCGUCGACCGACACAAGCACGCGACCCCCCUGCGCGACGCAGGCCAGCGCGGCCGCCACCUCGACGGCCGGACCCGUGUAUGAGUAGCGACGCGUGAGCGGGUCCAUGGUGGCGCGCACGCGGCCCGUGUGCACGCCCAUGCGCACCCUCAGACCGCGAAACACGACCGCAUCGUCGGCGUUGCCGCCCGUCUCCUCGCACGCGUCGGCAUGGUGCAAGAGGUGUGGUGGCCACUUGGCGUCCAAGAGGGCCGUCUGGGCAGUGCGACAAAAGUCUAGGGCGUCGUCGGCGCGCGCAAACACGAGGCAAAAGGUGCCCUCGCCGGCGGGGCGGUUGGGACCAAAUGGCGACUCGUAGCCGCCGUGAGCGGCCACGGCGGCGCGUACAGUGAGAUUGUGCUCAACCAGUGCGUCUUUCAUCGCCCGCGGGACCUCAUCCCAUAGUGUGUCGGCCCGGUGCACGUCGGUAAACACGACCGUCACGGGACCCUGGUCGUCGGCAACGGGCGCACGCUUGUGACCCACGUGGACGGUGAUGGGCGUGGCAGCGGGGCUGCUGCGGUCAAAGCCGCGCACCGAAUCGGCCAGGAGCGAGGGCUCGUCGGUGCCCGCCUGGGCGCCACCACCGCCAGACGAUCCCGCAUAGGGCGACGACGACGACGAGGUGCCCGUGUAGCGUCCGCCCGUCGACGACGAAGCGUCGCCGUCAAUGAUCGUGCUGAGGCGGGUCAUGGCUUCGAGAAAGGCCGGCCGCAUCAUCGGGUCGCGGUUCCAGCAGUCGACGACAAGGCGCUCAAAGUCGACAAAGGUCGGCGGCAUGAUCGUGCCCGUCGGGGGCAUGCGCGGCCGUGCGUCGUCACGCAGCACGGCCACGGCCACGGCCGCCUGACUGAGGCCGGCAUAGGGCUGUUGGCGCGUGAGCAGUUCCCAGAGGACGACGCCAAAGGCAUAGACAUCGGCCGGGACCAUGUCGGCCGUGGUCGGGCUCCCAUUGCUGCCGCCGCCAGGGGUGUGGUCGCCGGCAAGGAUCUCGGGCGCCAUCCACUGCACGGUGCCCUCAAUGGCGGUGCUCGUGCGCGACCCAUGAUCGCCCGCCAGCCGGGUGAGGCCAAAGUCAGACACCUUGAGGUUCCACUUGGCGUCGAGCAAGAGGUUCAUCGACUUGAGAUCGCGGUGGACGACGCCCGACGAGUGCAAAAAGUGCAUGCCCUUGGCCGCCUGGUAGGCGAGGCGCACGCGCAGCGCCGGCGGCAGGUCGGUGAUCAACUCAUUGGCCAAGAGGUCGUGCAGUGAUCCGAGCGCCAUGUACUCCAUCACGAUGCAGGGCGUGACGGCCUUGGUGCACGCCGCCAUAAACAAGACGACGUUGGGGUGGCGGAGGGCCGUCAUCACGCGCACCUCGUCACGGAACCGGUCCAGGGCCUCGCGCGUGGGCGUCGCCCCAAUCAACUUGACCGCCACCUCGGUACCCUUCCACUUGGCCUUGUGCACGGUGCCAUAGCCGCCGGCGCCCAGUUGGUCGCCCAUGUCCAGUUCCGUCGGAUCAAUCUCCCAGUCAUCGUCGUGGAGGCGGCGACGCGCGCGCCACAUGACUAUGACAAUCACCAGUGCGGCGACAAUGAUCAGCAGGCCCAAGCCGGCGACGACGGGCGCGACGACGGCCGGGAUGAUCACGGAUGUUGAGUCGGUCGAAGCCGACAGAGUACCGUCAGUGGCGCAAUGAACGCCCGUCCACGGCGGCGUGCACACACAGACCGAGUCGAUACAGGUGCCGUGGUCCGAACACACGCGGCCGUCGUUGGGCGCCACACAGCCAUAGAGCGAACUCACGGGCACGCCGUCCACCGUGAUGUUGACGACAAUGGCCAGCACGCGCGCCAUCAUACCCUCGGAGGCGCUGCACAUGACGACAUAGUUUUGCUCGGCGAGGGCGCGCGCUUCGGACGUGCUCUGCGCCCAGUAGAUCCAGUCGACGAGGGCCUUGGCCUUGGCCGAGUCGACCAUAGUGCGCGUGCGCAACAUCAAAUAGUUGUACAUGGCGACGGGCCACGAGCGCGCGCCCGGCCCGGCCACCGGGUCGACGUCGGGCAGGACAAUGUCGGCGGCGGCCAUGGCGGGCGCAAAGUCGGCUAGGGUCGACGCCAACGAGGCCGUAUCGGGCAGUACGCGAUUGCCCGCCGGGUUGACCAUGCCGCCGGCGACGACGCCCACGACGCCCUGAAGUGCAUGGGUGGGCCAAAAGGUGAACGAGUAGGGAUGGGCCUGGACGGCGGGCGGCACGGCCAUGCCCACGAUACCGACGGUGCGGUUGGGCUCGUCAAACAUGACCGGAAACUGAAUGUCCCACCGAUAGCCGACCUCGGCGGCAAAGGUGGCGUUCAUGAGCGCGAGCGCGUGCGUAUAGUGGGCGGCCACCGACGACGGCAGCACCUGGUAGACGAUGGUGAUCUCGCGGCCCGCCGGCAGGUACGGGGCCAGUUCCGGGUUGAGGGCGGCGAUGCGUGGGUGGUCCCACGUGCGGAUCUCGCCCAGGUAGAUGCCAGUGAGCACCGACCAGUCAAAGUAGAGCGGCGCGCGGCCGACGAGUUCCGGCACCGAGUAAAUGGGUCCGAUGGCGCCAAUCUGCAUGGGCAACAGGACGACGUCGGGCACGAGGUCCAUCUGGGCGCGCGUCGGCAGGGCCGUGAUCGACGAGAGGUCCACCUGGUUGGCCAGCAUGGCCUGGAUGCCGUCGACGGUGCGGCCCGAAAAAAACUUGAACCGGUAGAGGCCCGCCGUGUACGAGUAGGACAUGCGCUGGUAUAUCUGCGCCGGCGGCUCGCCCAUGGCCACCAUGUACGACUCGCUGAGGGCGCGGAGGCCACCGCAGCGCACGUCGCUCAGGGCAUUGACCGCCGUGUAGACCCAGGCAAAUGGGACGGGCACGUAGCCGACGCCGGCGGCCGAGUUGGUCCCGACGGCCGAGUUGACCUGUGCCCACACCAAGAGUCGCAAGAGUUCUUGCGUGUAGGAGCAGUCGGCCGAUCCAAAGGCCUGCACCGAGCCGCGGCCCGUGCCAUUGAUGUCGACGCCCACCCAGGCCAUGGCGCAGAGGGGCCAUGCGCCGGGGGCCCCCGCCGCCCUGAUGCCCACGAUGGCACCCGCCGCCGUCGAGGCUGGAUCGGUCAUGAGACCAUCGUUAAAGGCUGCCGACACUGAAAGCAAGGCCGCCGAGACCGACGCCGUGUCGGGUGCCAAAGCGUGCCCCGUCGCGUUGAGCAAGGUCGCCGCCGGCACGGUCAUAGUGGUCUCCCACGCUGCGGCAAAGGUGAGCGCACCGGCGGGCGCCGUCUCUAGCCACGCCAUGCGAUUGUCGGCAAUGCGCACCGUGUUGGCCGGCGACAGGCGACUCGUGUUGUGACCGGCGAUGGCAAGUGCGGCAGCAAAAUCAGGGCUACAGUCGGCCAGUGCGCGCAUAAAGGCGUCCUCGACGUCGUCGCCCUCGGGACCGACCAUGACCAAGGUCACAUUGGAUGCCGCCGGAUCGGCCGUUGAACACGCCGGGUUGAGGGCCGUCACGCGGGCAUCCGACCACGUUGUGACAGCGCCCGACCACAGCAGGCCCAAAAGGUCACAGGUCACGACGAGUGGCCCCGUGUGGCCCGGACAUGGCGGGGCAUUGUGCGCGGCCACGAGGGCCGUCGCCGCCAUCGGUGCAAAGCGCAUGCCGGCGCGGCGCGCCCCGACACCCGUAAAGGUAUGGAGGGCAACAAAGUCGGCCUGGCCCUUGGCAUAGUCGUCAAUGGCGUCGGCGGGCGUCGCGUCGAUAUAGACCAGGCCAAUGUCGUCGCGCGUGUACUGGUAGUCGGCCGCGAGGGCGCGGAUCAAUUUGCCUGCCGUCGGGCCGCCGUCGCCAAUGAGAGUCACGCUCGUGGGCGUCGCCGCAUCCGUGCGCGCUCCCAAGAGCACGAUCGUCGCCAGGGCCACAAUCACAUACAGUAUUGCGGGGGAGCCGUGCAGAAUCGACAUGUGCGCCCUUUUUUUUUCGGGGAAGCGACCGCCCUCGUCGGUGCUGUCUUGAUGAUCACCGCCACGUGCGCUCCCUACAAACUUUUUUCUUUCUCGAUCAAAGGGUUUGUCGCUGUCUUUGCGUGUCGGACCGGCACGAGGUUGUCGGUCGUCUCUUUUUUUUUUCGGUCGCAGUGGGUACCAAAGAGAAGAUGAUCA